GUGUCAGCAGCCGCGGUAAUACGGAGGAUCCAGGCGUUAUCCGGAUUUAUUGGGUUUAAAGGGUGCGCAGGCGGGGAAUUAGGUCGACGGUGAAAUUUCGGGGCUCAACCCCGAGAGUGCCGUUGAAACCGGUUUUCUUGAGUGCGGAUGAGGUAGGCGGAAUUUGUGGUGUAGCGGUGAAAUGCGUAGAUAUCACAAGGAACACCGAUUGCGGAGGCAGCUUACUAAACCGUUACUGACGCUCAUGCACGAAGGCGUGGGGAUCAAACAGGAUUAGAUACCCUGGUAGUCCACGCAGUAAACGAUGAUUACUAGCUGUUUGCGAUACAUUGUAAGCGGCUGAGCGAAAGCGUUAAGUAAUCCACCUGGGGAGUACGGUCGCAAGAAUGAAACUUAAAGGAAUUGACGG
rnacentral:rRNA from 1 species